GAUGAACGCUAGCUACAGGCUUAACACAUGCAAGUCGAGGGCAGCGCAGUGUAGCAAUACAUGGGCGGCGACCGGCGCACGGGUGCGUAACGCGUAUCCAACCUUCCCGAUACUCAGGGAUAGCCUUCCGAAAGGGAGAUUAAUACCUGAUGGUGUUCAAAUUCCGCAUGUUAUUUGAACUAAAGAUUUAUCGGUAUCGGAUGGGGAUGCGUGACAUUAGAUAGUAGGCGGGGUAACGGCCCACCUAGUCUACGAUGUCUAGGGGUUCUGAGAGGAAGGUCCCCCACACUGGAACUGAGACACGGUCCAAACUCCUACGGGAGGCAGCAGUGAGGAAUAUUGGUCAAUGGUCGGAAGACUGAACCAGCCAAGUAGCGUGAAGGAUGAAGGUUCUAUGGAUUGUAAACUUCUUUUAUACGGGAAUAAAACCACCUACGUGUAGGUGCUGUAUGUACCGUAUGAAUAAGCAUCGGCGUAAACUCCGUGCCAGCAGCCGCGGU
rnacentral:rRNA from 1 species